UUUCAUAAUGCACAUACUAUACUCAUAAUUACAAUGUAAGAAAGUAAAAAUAAAAAUAAAUUCUCGUAAACGAAUGAAAUAAAUUAGAGAUCAUAUUUCUACAAGCCCUGCUUCUUUAUUAGAAAUAUGCAGCAGUUAAGUUAGCAGAAAUACUCAACCCUGUUGAAACUGUGAGGGCAUGGCCAACAAUGGACAGCCGAAGAUGGAGAAUCCAGCUGUUGACUCUCUAACUCCAACUGAGGGAUGUGGAAUUGAACUGCCACAAGCAAAUCCACACAAUCACAUCAGAAAUCUUUCCCAAUUAUGUUCACCUGAAGCUAUGUUUGAUUUCAGGAAGGAUUAAGUGCAAAAAACCACUUUUAGUUGUUUUCGAUAAAAAAAAUAAUUAUACAAAUAUAGAAAAUGAUUAAAAAUACAUCAUUACAUAUACAAAUUGUUUUUAAAAAAUAUUUAAAAAUAUAGAAAACCAGUUAAGAACAUAUUAAAUUCCCAAACAAACUAUUGUUUUCGAAAAUACUUUCCAAACAAAGCCACAAAAUCUUAAGUUGGGAAAUUUUCUUGAGAUAUCCUGAAUAAAGAUGGUAAAUAUGAGACCCAUAAGGGUAAUCAGUUGGUCAAUACUAGGAGGUAUGGUCCCUGCAAGUGGCAUAUGGUCCCAAGUUCGAAUCCUGUCGUUGAUGAUACCUUGAAUUUACUCGGUAUUGGUUGUUGGGAGGCAGUCAAUACCUUGAGGUUUGGGUCCCAAUGGAAAGUCCUAAGAGCUUGGCCAUGGAAAGUUACUCGGUUAUUAAAAAUAAAAAAUAAAAUGGUAAAUAUGAGUCUUUCUAUGAUGACUAUAGGGUAACCUCAGGCCUUUUAUUCCCAUAAUGGAAUGGGAAACAGAACUAAUCGGUGUGAACCGGCUGAUCAACAGUGAGGAGUAUGAUGGGGUGAUUUAGACUAAGGCAAACCUAGGAUAUUUGGUUGUUAAGCCAUAGUACUAAAUAAGUAGCUACCAGUUUCGAGAUAUGUUUUUCACAUGUAAAUGUAAAACUGAAACAAAAUACUAGACGAAUAAGUACUUAGGCGGUGUUUGUUUUUUUGACUUUUUGCUAAAAGCAAUUUGUUUUCAGAAUUUAGGUUGUUUGUUUUUCUACUUUUUCAUAACUUAUUAUAAACUUUUUACUAAAUAGAAAAAGUCAAAAUAUGUAGUUUUUUCUAAAUAGAAAAAAUAACAUAUUGGUUUUUCUUUACUUUUUAAUACUUAAUAGAAAUAAAAUACUACAAAAACAAACAACCUAAUAUUUAACACUAUUAAGCAUUAAGGUUCUAUUUAAAAUUAAGUAAAAAACAACCACCACCUUAAAGAAACAAAAUUACAUAAAGCUUUUAGUGUUGAACAAUAGUUCCCCUAAGCUGCUAGUUGGCAUGUGCAUGUUUUGCUCAAAAUAAAUUUGACAAAAAAAUGACACACAUGUAAAGAGUGAGGUUUGAAGACAUUGCCAAUUGACAGAUGUAAGCAGGAAAGAAUUGUUAAAGAUUAGAACUGACCUAAAUGACAAUGACAGCGAAGCAUCAACCGAUGUGUCAAUUCCAUUCCGAUCAGGGGAAAGUACUGACCAAAAAACUGGCACAUGAAGCACACAGAAGCCAUCAGCAUGAAUCUUUAAACCAAUAGGGAAAAAAGCAUUUAGCAUUGUGUUAAGAGAGAAUUAGAAUGAUCUCUCAUUCCAUGACGAAUUAAAACUUGCAGCUUCUGCCUCAAACUGGACAUCCAAAAUCUUAAGAGAAAGAGAGAUCACAAACUAAAAAUUUAGAACACCUGACUUUCUUUAGAAGUAUAAGGAUAUGCUAGAUCUUAAAUUUAGUAAAACCUGAAUUUCUAUAGUAGUAAAAGGACACACUAGAUCUUGAGAUUGGUUUAUGCCCUGCCUCUGCCAGUUUUCCUCUUUCCAUUAAGAAGAAACUAUAUUGCAUGGACACUCAUGUUGGACAUGACAUGACAUGCCUAGUAGUCAAAUAUGCAGUCAACAUGCAUGUCUAACAAAGAAAAUGGAGAGUAGUUCAUAGUUGACUGUAAAUAACCUUGGAUUCUUAGGAAAGUCAAUAUACUUCAGCUAGGGUAUAGAAUGAGAAAAAGUACAAAAUAGGAUAGAAAGUCAUAGUCCAGUAUCCUUAAAUUGGACAUUAAACGGAAAUAAAACUUAGGCACACAUCAACAUCCAAAACUUGGUCCAAGCCAAUGUAACAGAGUAGAAUGUUUAUCAUUGAGACAUAGCUAAUUUCACCAGAAAGAGCAGAUGAGCAAUGAACAAAAGAAUUACCUGACUUUCCCGAACUGUCCUGAAAACCAGAGCAAAACAAUAUAUCCUGCGCAAUAUAAAGUUCGUAAUCUCUCAGAUUAGCGUAUAGCAAUUUGUUUAAUAUUAAGGAAAAAAUGCAACCCAGAAAGCUCACCUCUCCUGUACCUUGAGAUACCUUGUGGACCAUCUCUGCAAGGAAUAAUUCCUCAAAUUCAGGAGAAGCUUCAAAAACAGGUGUAAAAUAAAUCCAGAGAAAGGAUUCAAUGGAAAAGCCAAAAUUUUUGAAGAAAUAAUAUCAAAUUAUCCUAAAUUUCUCCAAAGGGUAACAGCUAUGGCCCAAAUACAUGCAUAACACUAGAAAACACUUCAAAAACACAAUGAGUUGUAAUUUACUAAUUUUAAGCCAAGUCUUGAAAAAUUUAACUGCCCACAAAAGAUGAAUAUGCCCCAUGUCCAUGUUACACAUAGGCAACAUAAAGGGAAGGAAGGAAAGCAGCUCCAUUACAGAAAGCACAAGCUUCUCAGUGUCCAUUUAUUCCCAAUAUUGAAAAUGUUCAAAGUAUUAAUGACUUUGAGGCCUUGCUCAAGUGGUAAAGGAAUGGGGAGGGUUUAUGGGAGGUUCCAGGUUCAAGUCUCAAAGGGGACAAAAAUUUAUCUAUCCAAAAAAAAAAAAAAAAAUUAAUGACUUGACAACGUUUUCAUCUUAUGGGAGAUGCAAAUAGUCCCAAACACAUCCCAUAUCAAAGGUUCAGAAAAUAAAGAGAGAAUUGAGUUCUUUGCAUAGAGAUAUUCUCUCCCUGUUCAUCAUAGUGCCUGCACACGAGUCCUUUGCU